CACCAAGGUUCCUGAAUUCAAUUCUUCUGUCAAGUCAGCACAGGACAGAAUGUCAUGACCCGUGUGAACAAAACUGAGACCGUCCUGCAACUGAGACAGAUGGUUCAACCCUGAUUGUGAGGAAACUACCAACUACUUAUAUGACCAAGCUUUCUGGGAAGUCUUAUACUGUCAAGGAGUUGGAGCCAGCAAUGGAAAAAAGCCAAAUUUAAUAAAUAAAAACAAAAGGCAAAUAACACAUCGGCCUUCAUAAGAAGUGUCUUACUGGACGUGCUGUCUGUUAACUGAGGACUCAAAAGUAUGAACCAUGUCCAUGAUGGGACAUUGUUGUUGACAAAAUACAUAUUAAAAAAAGAUCGAGAAAAAUGUCUUUCCACAGCAUACUGUGGUAAAACAAUGGGAUCCAAAGUUAUAAACUCUACAUUGUCAACAUACAAUCGUGCAAAUGUUGUGUCAUCAAAAGAACAGAUUUUUUGGUAACUUCGGUGGCUUUCCUGUCCAAAUAAACACUUCCACUAGUUUUGAACCAUUUUAGUGGGAAAUGGGCAACAUCAGACUGCUGAACCAAAAAAUCUCUGAAUCAACUGACCAUAAAGAAAAAAAAUAUUUUUUCCUAGAGAUGCAGUUCAAGCCCUAAAGCAAAUGGUUCUGUUUGAAAUAGUAUUUUGAUGAAAAGUGCAUUCUGGUCAGACUGGUUUCUUGAGUUUUUGAUUUGCUUUUCACCUUGGAGGGAGAAUUGGCAGCAAAUAGUCUAUGUUGCGUGAGAUGUAUAUCUUCAGCAAGAUUAAAGCUUUUUGUUUUAAACGCCUUUGAGUGCUUUUUGUUCUUAAUUCUGACAUAUUAUAUUUUUGUACAUUUACUGUGUGACCACUUCUCUAAAAGAAUUUUUUUCAAAACAUCCAUCUUGGUUGUAACACUGUUGUUCAUCUGAAACUAUUACACAACACUUCCAGAACUGUGCUCAUCAACAGAUGAUGGUGGUUUAAAAAAUUUGACUAUUUUUUUCAGCAAGGAAUAUAAAACCUAUUUUAAGCAAAGAGUAUUAUA